GACAGAGGGGGCAAGCGUUGCUCGGAAUCACUGGGCGUAAAGGGCGCGUAGGCGGGAUGGCAAGUCAGUCGUGAAAUCUCUCGGCUCAACCGAGAAACGUCGGCUGAUACUGCCGUUCUUGAGGGAUGCAGAGGAGACUGGAAUUCCCGGUGUAGCGGUGAAAUGUGUAGAGAUCGGGAGGAACACCGGUGGCGAAGGCAGCCCCCUGGGUCAACACUGACGCUCAUGCACGAAAGCGUGGGGAGCAAACAGG
rnacentral:rRNA from 1 species